rnacentral:rRNA from 1 species
CCUACGGGCGGCAGCAGUGGGGGAUAUUGCACAAUGGGGGAAACCCUGAUGCAGCGACGCCGCGUGUGGGAAGACGGUCUUCUGGAUUGUAAACCACUGUCCCCAGGGACGAAAAUGACGGUACCUGGGGAGGAAGCUCCGGCUAACUACGUGCCAGCAGCCGCGGUAAUACGUAGGGAGCAAGCGUUGUCCGGAAUUACUGGGUGUAAAGGGAGCGUAGGCGGGGAUGCAAGUUGGGUGUCAAAACUACCGGCUCAACCGAUAGUCGCACUCAAAACUGCAACUCUUGAGUGAAGUAGAGGCAGGCGGAAUUGCUAGUGUAGCGGUGAAAUGCGUAGAUAUUAGGAGGAACACCAGUGGCGAAGGCGGCCUGCUGGGCUUUUACUGACGCUGAGGCUCGAAAGUGUGGGGAGCAAACAGGAUUAGAUACCCUUGUAGUC